AUUGAACGCUGGCGGCAUGCUUUACACAUGCAAGUCGGACGGCAGCAUAGAAGAGCUUGCUCUUUUGAUGGCGAGUGGCGAACGGGUGAGUAAUGCAUCGGAACGUACCGAGUAGUGGGGGAUAACUGUCCGAAAGGAUGGCUAAUACCGCAUAUUCUCUGAGGAGGAAAGCAGGGGACCUUAGGGCCUUGCGCUAUUUGAGCGGCCGAUGUCUGAUUAGCUAGUUGGUGGGGUAAGAGCCCACCAAGGCGACGAUCAGUAGCGGGUCUGAGAGGAUGAUCCGCCACACUGGGACUGAGACACGGCCCAGACUCCUACGGGAGGCAGCAGUGGGGAAUUUUGGACAAUGGGCGCAAGCCUGAUCCAGCCAUGCCGCGUGUAUGAAGAAGGCCUUCGGGUUGUAAAGUACUUUUGUCAGGGAAGAAAAGCCUGGGGAUAACACCCUCAGGUCAUGACGGUACCUGAAGAAUAAGCACCGGCUAACUAUGUGCCAGCAGCCGCGGUAAUACGUAGGGUGCGAGCGUUAAUCGGAAUUACUGGGCGUAAAGCGAGCGCAGACGGUUAUUUAAGCAAGAUGUGAAAGCCCCGGGCUCAACCUGGGAACUGCGUUUUGAACUGGGUAACUAGAGUGUGUCAGAGGGGGGUAGAAUUCCACGUGUAGCAGUGAAAUGCGUAGAGAUGUGGAGGAAUACCGAUGGCGAAGGCAGCCCCCUGGGAUAACACUGACGUUCAUGCUCGAAAGCGUGGGUAGCAAACAGG
rnacentral:rRNA from 1 species